CAAUAGCGUAUAUUAAAGUUGUUGCGGUUAAAAAGCUCGUAGUUGGAUUUCUGCUGAGGACGACCGGUCCGCCCUCUGGGUGAGUAUCUGGCUCGGCCUGGGCAUCUUCUUGGAGAACGUAGCUGCACUUGAUUGUGUGGUGCGGUAUCCAGGACUUUUACUUUGAGGAAAUUAGAGUGUUUCAAGCAGGCACACGCCUUGAAUACAUUAGCAUGGAAUAAUAAGAUAGGACCUUGGUUCUAUUUUGUUGGUUUCUAGAAUUGAGGUAAUGAUUAAUAGGGAUAGUUGGGGGCAUUCGUAUUUAACUGUCAGAGGUGAAAUUCUUGGAUUUGUUAAAGACGGAUUACUGCGAAAGCAUUUGCCAAGGAUGUUUUCAUUGA
rnacentral:rRNA from 1 species